GAUGAACGCUGGCGGCGUGCCUAAUACAUGCAAGUCGAGCGAACAGACGAGGAGCUUGCUCCUCUGACGUUAGCGGCGGACGGGUGAGUAACACGUGGAUAACCUACCUAUAAGACUGGGAUGACUUCGGGAAACCGGAGCUAAUACCGGAUAAUAUAUUGAACCGCAUGGUUCAAUAGUGAAAGACGGUUUUGCUGUCACUUAUAGAUGGAUCCGCGCCGCAUUAGCUAGUUGGUAAGGUAACGGCUUACCAAGGCAACGAUGCGUAGCCGACCUGAGAGGGUGAUCGGCCACACUGGAACUGAGACACGGUCCAGACUCCUACGGGAGGCAGCAGUAGGGAAUCUUCCGCAAUGGGCGAAAGCCUGACGGAGCAACGCCGCGUGAGUGAUGAAGGUCUUCAGAUCGUAAAACUCUGUUAUUAGGGAAGAACAAAUGUGUAAGUAACUAUGCACGUCUUGACGGUACCUAAUCAGAAAGCCACGGCUAACUACGUG
rnacentral:rRNA from 1 species